rnacentral:misc_RNA from 1 species
GAAGAACGAAGAAGGAAGAAGAAGAAAAGACAGAAGAAGAGAAAAAGAAAAAAAAAAAGAAGAGAAGAAGAAGAAGAAGAAGAAGAACGAAGCAAUAAACCAAACUAUUCUAGAAAACACAGUUGUAUUACAUAGUAUAACAGAUAUACAUGCAAUAAGUAUUUUAAAAUAAUUAUAAUACUACUUUACAAGAAAAGCGACAAAGUGUUACGAUAUAAAAAAACAAAAACAAAAAAACAAUCUACUGGAAACGACAAUUUUGCAAAGAGUGAGAGGACAUCAUUUUGAGGGUGUAGAGAACAUCAAAAUAUCUUUGGAACGGUGUUAAAAAUUGAAUUUGAAGCCGCACGCUAACGACGAUAUUUAAUUGCAAAAUAAUAGCAAGAAGAAGAAGAAGAAGAAGACAAUUAGCAACAACAGUCUUCAACAAAAACAGUAGCAGCAACAACAGCACCAACAAAAGAUAUAAAAAGAAGAAAAACACAGAAAGCGGACGCAACCUUACUUCCCAAGAAAAGAGAGAGAGAGAGAGAGAGAGAGAGAACCGCAAGUGACAGACGGGCUACAAGGGAAGCAACAACAACAACAACAAUAACAGCAACAACUGCAAUUGAAAAUACUCCAGAAGCAGCUGUAGCCGCAACAACAGCAACAGCAGUAGAAGCAACAGGAACAAUAGUUAAAGGGAUUUUUCAAAUAAUAAAGUGUUGAAAAAUCAAAAAUGUGUCGACAAGGAGUAUUCUUCAUUGUAGCCAUGUGUUUUGUGGUAUUUGUACAGUCUUUUGACGUGAAGACAUUCUGUAAGACUCGUUGUGCCGUUGGUAGAGGGGGCAAUUUAUGUCGUUGCAAUGCAUUCCACUUCGCUGGCAAAAGAUCGGACGGGCAAUACAAGCGACAAGAAUUCGGCACCAUUAACACAGACGAUAAUUACAAUCCGUUUCAAAGUUAUUUUGAAAACCUAUCCGGGUCUUUGCCUAUACAAAGACAGAGUGCACAGCAAAACGAUUACGAUGACAACGACGCGACUACAGGAAACCAGAUGUUAUAUCCAGUGAGGGAUGAGGCCCUCUUCAGAAGGGCCAUCUCAGAACAGAUGAACUCCAAUGAUCAACUUCUACCAGGUGAUAUCCGCAUCCCCAACAGCAACACAAGAAGUCAGAAGGAAGGCAGCCGUCUUCAGAACUUAUUGCAGAAACAGUAUAAAAGAUAUAAGAACGACAGCAACAACAACAACAACAACCUAUCUGGAGUACUGCCGAUCGACGUCAAUGACUUCAAUGAUAGAUCAGCUCGUUUAAGAAACACUUUACAUCACACUGACAAAUAUCUAAUAGAUAUUUUUAGAAGAG